rnacentral:rRNA from 1 species
GAUGAACGCUGGCGGCGUGCCUAAUACAUGCAAGUCGAGCGAAUGGAUUAAGAGCUUGCCCUUAUGAAGUUAGCGGCGGACGGGUGAGUAACACGUGGGUAACCUGCCCAUAAGACUGGGAUAACUCCGGGAAACCGGGGCUAAUACCGGAUAACAUUUUGAACCGCAUGGUUCGAAAUUGAAAGGCGGCUUCGGCUGUCACUUAUGGAUGGACCCGCGUCGCAUUAGCUAGUUGGUGAGGUAACGGCUCACCAAGGCAACGUUGCGUAGCCGGCCUGAGAGGGUGCUCGGCCACACUGGGACUGAGACACGGCCCAGACUCCGUCGGGAGGCAGCAGUAGGGAAUCUUCCGCAAUGGACGAAAGUCUGACGGAGCAACGCCGCGUGAGUGAUGAAGGCUUUCGGGUCGUAAAACUCUGUUGUUAGGGAAGAACAAGUGCUAGUUGAAUAAGCUGGCACCUUGACGGUACCUAACCAGAAAGCCACGGCUAACUACGUGCCAGCCGCCGCCGUAA